GUUAUUUAUGAUUUUUUUUCUCGUAAAGCAGUUAUUUAUUUGCUAUGAGCACCACAAAAUGAAUGUAUACUGUUUAUAAUGUGCAUAAUGGUUUUUAUUUUUUUACAGGGCUACUUUGGCGCUGUCGGGUCACUUCUGGAACUAUUAAAUUCCUCCUGAGCCCAGAAAUUUAAAUAACCAGAGUCACAUGAAAUUCAACCGCCCUCCUGUACCUCUGUAACUACAUCUUUGCCAUGUGAUCAGGAUCACACAUGCACAUAUCACAGAGCUUAAUUUCCAGGUACAAGCUCUGAAACCUCAAACUCACCUGAAAUAUCGCAAGACUCUCCCUCGUCGGCGGUGAGAGGAGCUUCGCUACUGAUCGUUUACGUUACCUGGUGAUGCAGCUCGCUGGACGAGCCUUCUAACCCAGGUUACUAUGCGAUACUUGUUAUUAGUGAAUCCCAUUUAAGUCUCACAUUAACAGACUCACGGGGAUUCACAAUCGAGUUUGGAGGAGCUGAUGGAGAAGAAGAGAAACAGAUCCAAAAAGUUUGUUUUAUAAUAAAAACCUUUAAAAAUA